UUUCUUCAUACCCAUUUGCCCCAUCAGGGAAACACACUCUUCAAGCCAGUAGCCUAGUUUUUAGAUCAUCAGAUCUUUCACUCAACUUCGUUUCAAACCUUUCAGGUUAUCCCACCAAGGAUUGAACCUUUCACACCUGUCGUUUUGUCCUACCAGGGAUAAAACUUUUCACACCCACAGUUUUGUCCCACUAUGGAUAAGACUUUUCACACCUGCUGUUUGUCCUGAACAUGAGAUCAAACUUUUCCUCGUAGUUUGUCCUAAACAUGGGAUCAAACUUUUUUGGCUAUAAAUCGUCCUUAACAUG
rnacentral:lncRNA from 1 species